UAAUUACUAUUACUCAAUUAUCAGUUUAAGCUAACUAUAAUUAUAAUUAUAUAUAUAUUUUUUAGCUGAACUAUUAGUCAGAAUUACGUAUAUUAUCGUCAUCAACCUAAACGUUAAUAACGUGAUGAUUCCCACCUUGCGAACUUUCUUUUACUGUCUAUGCUUGCGAACAGUAAAAAAAAAAAAAAGAAAAAGAAAAAUAAAAAAGCUUGUGUGACGACGCCUCCUAGCGUUUAAAUGAUCUCAUUACCCAGUCUACUUCGGAUCUCCUGCCAGCAAAGUGCAUGCUUUUUCAGUGUUACGAAAGGUGGGAAGUGACUGUGCUGGGUAACAGUGGUCUUCAGGUUACAUUACAUGAGUUGACGUGUAAUGCAAGUCUCUCUGUUUCUCUGAGUACACCAGAGUUCAUUUAUCCUGAAACUAUCAGCGAUCUCUCAGCAGCAGAAUGGCAAAGAGAAAAGAGAAACGGAAGAAAACCGACACGAAGAAACCGAAGCAGAUUGCAAAGAACAAACCGAAACAGUAUGGUGGACAAAAACAACUGCAAAAACUCCAGGGUGGCGUCUCGUGGGUCAGGAAUAUACGAUUCCUCUGAUGAGAGAACAAGUACUUCCAGGACGGAGAAGUUAAAACAGAAGAGUCAGAGGACAUGAGGGACCACAUUGAAUAGAUAAGCCCCAUGUUCAUAGAGCACUCAUCACCAUCAAAACACAUCACAGAAGAUGAGGAAGAAAGUGAGGAUGAGGAGGACUUGGAGGAAGUGGAAUGUGCAUAGUGUUUUUUAAAUGGCAGAACCGCUGGGUCCCAUGGACUCGACUGAACUAGCAGUUGUGUCAAAACCAGCGGAGAUUGAGAUCGAGACUCCAGACAAGAAGCAGAGGAAAUGCAGGCAAAGUUAUUGGACAGGCUAUUGCCGACAUCCAUCUCAGAAUACAAGAACCAUCCACCUGCUAAAAUAUGAGGCCAUCUACCCCCCUACAGCCGCUGUCCUGGGGUACUGCAGAGGAGAGCCAGUUUAUUCACGACUGUGCACACACUCCAUUCUAGAGAUACCUUGCUGAAGGAAGCAAGAACUGUUCGACUAGCAGAUAAUCUGUACAAGGUAUGUGUAUUUGACCUUUUUAUAAUAAAUGACAUGACUUCUUCUUCACACCACUCUGUUUCCCUUUCAGGCUUGAAAUGAAAUGAUUACAAAACUAAGGAUAUUAAUAACUGUCUUUACAUUU